UAAUGCUUGGGAAUCUGGCUUAUGGAGGGGGAUAACUACUGGAAACGGUAGCUAAUACCGCGUAAGGUCUAAGGACAAAAGGGGGCGUAAGCUCCUGCCAUAAGAUGAGCCCAAGUGGGAUUAGGUAGUUGGUGAGGUAAUGACUCACCAAGCCUGCGAUCUCUAACUGGUCUGAGAGGACGACCAGCCACACCGGGACUGAGACACGGCCCGGACUCCUACGGGAGGCAGCAGUGGGGAAUAUUGCGCAAUGGGGGGAACCCUGACGCAGCCAUGCCGCGUGAAUGAAGAAGGCCUUCGGGUUGUAAAGUUCUUUCGGUGAUGAGGAAGGUGAUAAGGUUAAUACCCUUAUUAAUUGACGUUAGUCACAGAAGAAGCACCGGCUAACUCCGUGCCAGCAGCCGCGGUAAUACGGAGGGUGUGAGCGUUAAUCGGAAUAACUGGGCGUAAAGGGCACGCAGGCGGAUUUUUAAGUGAGGUGUGAAAGCCCCGGGCUUAACCUGGGAAUUGCAUUUCAGACUGGGAAUCUAGAGUACUUUAGGGAGGGGUAGAAUUCCACGUGUAGCGGUGAAAUGCGUAGAGAUGUGGAGGAAUACCGAAGGCGAAGGCAGCCCCUUGGGAAUGUACUGACGCUCAUGUGCGAAAGCGUGGGGAGCAAACAGGAUUAGAUACCCUGGUAGUCCACGCUGUAAACGCUGUCGAUUUGGGGGUUGGGCUUUAAGC
rnacentral:rRNA from 1 species